GAUGAACGCUGGCGGCGUGCCUAAUACAUGCAAGUCGAGCGAACAGACGAGGAGCUUGCUCCUCUGACGUUAGCGGCGGACGGGUGAGUAACACGUGGAUAACCUACCUAUAAGACUGGGAUAACUUCGGGAAACCGGAGCUAAUACCGGAUAAUAUAUUGAACCGCAUGGUUCAAUAGUGAAAGACGGUUUUGCUGUCACUUAUAGAUGGAUCCGCGCCGCAUUAGCUAGUUGGUAAGGUAACGGCUUACCAAGGCAACGAUGCGUAGCCGACCUGAGAGGGUGAUCGGCCACACUGGAACUGAGACACGGUCCAGACUCCUACGGGAGGCAGCAGUAGGGAAUCUUCCACAAUGGGCGAAAGCCUGACGGAGCAACGCCGCGUGAGUGAUGAAGGUCUUCGGAUCGUAAAGCUCUGUUAUUAGGGAAGAACAAAUGUGUAAGUAACUAUGCACGUCUUGACGGUACCUAAUCAGAAAGCCACGGCUAACUACGUG
rnacentral:rRNA from 1 species